CAAAAAUAAAAGAUAAUAUUUGAAAUAAAAGCUCUCACUUCCGGUUACCUCUCGUCCGGCAGCGGUACACUUCCGGUUGAAAGUAAGCCAGGCAUCUAUCUUCCAAUAUUCUAAUACAUACAUUCAUAUCUUCAUUUAAAGCAGAACAAAUUGAAUCAUUAACUAACUACGUGGUUUAUAAAGAUCACCAGACAUGGACAGCCCAGCUAUUGGCUUUUGAGUUCGAUUAAACUAAGGUGAUGCCAAGCUAACAUGUUAGCUUAGCCAGGAAUGAAUUGACUUUUCGGGGUAAACCCUUUUCUAGUUCAGUAACUAACACUUUUUUUUUGGCUGCUGUUUUGCUGAAUGGACGCUUUCCAGUUCAUUAUUUAUUUUCUAUCAACUUCUGCAGUGAAGUGAAUUAUAAUUAUAUAGCGCUUUUCUCUAGUGACUCAAAGCACUUUACAAGCAGUGUGGGUGGCACUGGGAGCAGGUGGGUAAAGCGGGGAUCGAACCUGGAACCCUCAAGGUUGCUGCCACGUCCACCCCACCAACCUAGCUAUACAGCCCCAGUGUGUGAAGCUGUUCUAUUUUAACCACACCGUGUUAGUGUCCUCUCGCCAUAACAUCCUCCUUAACCUCCAUCCUUUGACUGGAUCGAUGGAGGAGAUGGGCAUUUCACCUGCAGCUAUGAUCACAUCACCAUGGAAACGGCCUACAGGGUCGCGGGGGGUGUUGGCGCCUAUCUCAGCUACAAUCGGGCGGAAGGCAGUGUACACCCUGGACAAGUCGCCACCUCAUCGCAGGGCCAACACAGAUAGACAGACAACAUUCACACUCACAUUCACACACUAGGGCCAAUUUAGUGUUGCCAAUCAACCUAUCCCCAGGUGCAUGUCUUUGGAAGUGGGAGGAAGCCGGAGUACCCGGAGGGAACCCACGCUUCCACGGGGAGAACAUGCAAACUCCACACAGAAAGAUUCCGAACCUGGAUUUGAACCCAGGACUGCAGGAACUUCGUAUUGUGAGGCAGACGCACUAACCCCUCUUCCACCGUGAAGCCCGCCCUAAAUUCAGAUGUAUUUCAAUGCAUCUCAUGCCCUAAAUUCAGAUGUAUUUCAA